rnacentral:rRNA from 1 species
UUAGGGAAGAACAAGUACCGUUCGAAUAGGGCGGUACCUUGACGGUACCUAACCAGAAAGCCACGGCUAACUACGUGCCAGCAGCCGCGGUAAUACGUAGGUGGCAAGCGUUGUCCGGAAUUAUUGGGCGUAAAGCGCGCGCAGGCGGUUUCUUAAGUCUGAUGUGAAAGCCCCCGGCUCAACCGGGGAGGGUCAUUGGAAACUGGGGAACUUGAGUGCAGAAGAGGAGAGUGGAAUUCCACGUGUAGCGGUGAAAUGCGUAGAGAUGUGGAGGAACACCAGUGGCGAAGGCGACUCUCUGGUCUGUAACUGACGCUGAGGCGCGAAAGCGUGGGGAGCGAACAGGAUUAGAUACCCUGGUAGUCCACGCCGUAAACGAUGAGUGCUAAGUGUUAGAGGGUUUCCGCCCUUUAGUGCUGCAGCAAACGCAUUAAGCACUCCGCCUGGG